rfam:Biomphalaria glabrata isolate BB02 unplaced genomic scaffold LGTN_random_Scaffold2657, whole genome shotgun sequence.
CCCGCGAUAGCUCAGUUGGUAGAGCGGAGGACUGUAGAUGUCAAAAAGCUAUCCUUAGGUCACUGGUUCGAAUCCGGUUUGCGGGU